AACGAACGCUGGCGGCAUGCCUAACACAUGCAAGUCGAACGAGACCUUCGGGUCUAGUGGCGCACGGGUGCGUAACGCGUGGGAACCUGCCCUUAGGUUCGGAAUAACUCCCCGAAAGGGGUGCUAAUACCGGAUAAUGUCUUCGGACCAAAGAUUUAUCGCCUUUGGAUGGGCCCGCGUUGGAUUAGCUGGUUGGUAGGGUAAAAGCCUGCCAAGGCGACGAUCCAUAGCUGGUCUGAGAGGAGGAUCAGCCACACUGGGACUGAGACACGGCCCAGAAUGCGACGGGAGGCAGCAGUGGGGAAUAUUGGAGGAUGGGCGAAAGUGUGAUACAGCAAUGCCGCGUGAGUGAUGAAGGGCGUAGGGUUGUAAAGCUCUUUUACCCGGGAUGAUAAUGACAGUACCGGGAGAAGAAGCUCCGGCUAACUCCGUG
rnacentral:rRNA from 1 species